rnacentral:rRNA from 1 species
AGUGAACGCUGGCGGUAGGCCUAACACAUGCAAGUCGAACGGCAGCACAGUAAGAGCUUGCUCUUACGGGUGGCGAGUGGCGGACGGGUGAGGAAUACAUCGGAAUCUACUUUUUCGUGGGGGAUAACGUAGGGAAACUUACGCUAAUACCGCAUACGACCUACAGGUGAAAGCAGGGGCUCUUCGUACCUUGCGCGAUUGAAUGAGCCGAUGUCGGAUUAGCUAGUUGGCGGGGUAAAGGCCCACCAAGGCGACGAUCCGUAGCUGGUCUGAGAGGAUGAUCAGCCACACUGGAACUGAGACAGGGUCCAGACUCCUACGGGAGGCAGCAGUGGGGAAUAUUGGACAAUGGGCGCAAGCCUGAUCCAGCCAUACCGCGUGGGUGAAGAAGGCCUUCGGGUUGUAAAGCCCUUUUGUUGGGAAAGAAAAGCAGCAGGUUAAUACCCCGCUGUUCUGACGGUACCCAAAGAAUAAGCACCGGCUAACUUCGUG